UAAAGUGGCGACCGGGUGAGUAACACGUGACUAACCUACCUUCAAGUGGGGGAUAACCUCGGGAAACCGGGGCUAAUACCGCAUAACAUCUUUGGGAUGGAAAUUCUGAAGAUCAAAGGAGCAAUUCGCUGGAAGAGGGGGUCGCGGCUGAUUAGCUAGUUGGCGGGGUAAUGGCCCACCAAGGCUUUGAUCGGUAGCCGGCCUGAGAGGGCGCACGGCCACACUGGAACUGAAACACGGUCCAG
rnacentral:rRNA from 1 species